GGGUCAGUAGGUUGGUCGUGCCACCGGUACGUACUGGUCUCACUGAUUCCUCCUUCCUGAAGAACCGUAAUGCCAUUAAUUUGGUGUUGCGGGGAAACAGGACUGUUACAUUGAAAAAAUUAGAGUGUUUAAAGCAAGCUAAUGCUUGAAUACAUUAGCAUGGAAUAAUGAAAUAGGACGAUCGAUCCUAUUUUGUUGGUUUCUAGGAUUGACGUA
rnacentral:rRNA from 1 species